rnacentral:lncRNA from 10 species
CUCACAAUGGUGUUUUUCUUUGUGAUAAUGUUCCUUAAACACAUAAUCCUAGCUCAACAUUUUUUUUUGAGUGAAGCUGAUCUAUACAUGAGAAGGUACAGCUGUAAGAAGGGCCUGGUUUGUCUCAUUUGGGUGGGCAAAAGGUCCUGCCUAGCUGACUUGAGUACCAAAAAAAAAAUCUAGCAUUUCUGCUCAGGCUGUGUCAGAGUGCAUUUCUUUCUGGUCUUCCUUGCAGGAAAAUAAGUCCCACGAGGCCAGAGACUGCGUCAUCUUCACUGUAGGAUCCUCAUCUCAGGCCCAAUGCCUAGCACAUAACAGGGAUGCAAGAAACAUCUUCUGAAUGAAUAAGCAACUAUGAAGAAGGCUCUGGAUUCAAGGUGCCUAUGGUGCUGACUUGCAUAGAAAGCAUAUGCAAGACAGGUUUUGAAGGCCAUACUCAGUUCAUUAAGAAAGUUUUUUCAGUGUUAAGAUUUUUUUUUCUUUCAAUUUUAAUUUUAGAUUCAGGGGAUAUAUGUGCAGGCUUUUUAAAUGGAUAUAUCGUGUGAUGCUGAGGUUUGGGGUGUGAUUGAACCCAUCACCCGGGUAGUGAUCACAGUACAAUAGGUAGUUUUUCAACCUUUGCCCCUCUCCCUCGUCCCCCCUUUUGUAGUCCCCACUGUCUAUUGUUCCCAUCUUUGUGUCCAUGUUGACCCCAUGUUUAGCUUCUACUUAUACAUGAGAACAUGUGGUAUUUGGCUUUCUGUUUCUGGCUACUGCACUGAGGAGAAUGACCUCCAGCUGCAUCCAUGUUGGUGCAAAGGACAUGAUUUCAUUUUUUAUGGCCAUAUAGUAUUCCAUGGUAUAAAUGUACCACAUUUCCUUUAUCCGAUCCACCAUUGAUAGGUGCCUACUGGAUUCCAUCUCUUGCUACUGUGAGUAGUGCUGUGAUGAACAUGUGGGUGCAUAUGUCUUUUUGGUAGAAUGAUUUAUUUUCUUACUAAGGAACUGUUCAUGAAUGCAGCAACAUGUGGCUUAAUGGCUGUCCUAGAAUGGGUUAAUACUAUCAGAGUUAUCUAAUAUUUGUCACUUAACAGGUUACAAAAUGCCUUCACAGGUACCUCACUUGAUCUCAGUGCAGUCCUGAGAAAUGAUGAUUAUCCCUGUUUUCCAGAAGGGUCCCAAGCCUGAGAAAGCUGGAAUGAUGCUCUUACAACAAUCAAGUGAUCAAGCUAAGAUUCACACAUGUUUUCUGUCCCUUAGUCCUAUGUUUGUUCCAUGUUCUCUGAGCCUCCAUAAGAUUUAUUGGUUGCCUCGUAUUCUCCGAGUUGGCUGAGACUAAAAUUAGAGGGGGCAGUUAUAGCUUUUAAAGCUCAGCCUAGUAAGUUGUACCAUGGACAUCUUUUAUUACUUUUGACAGCCAGAUGAUGGGAAUCACGAAGACUGAGCUGCAUGACACCAAAUGGGUUAACGACCUUUUUAAUAGCUUUCUUCUCCCCACUCUCUCCCCAGGAUGUUACAGAGAGACUUGCAGCUUCCUGCAUCACAAAGGUUUGCUUAAAGUGAGACUGUUGAACAUUUCCCCAGAAAGUAGGACCUUAAAAAACCGGAGCUGGGUCAGCGGUCAAAGAGAUUUACAAGUUAGGACCAGAAUGACCCUAGUCCUUGUUUGCUCAUGACUUGGUCGGUCUGUUUGAUUUCAAGGAAAGCAAAUGAAAAACCAGAAGCCAAAUAUUUACUUAGGUCCCGGCUUCCGUCGGAGAACAGACCUGUGAGGAGGCUGCUACCAGGAGGAGGAGUCAUUUCAUGUCUUCGUACACGUUGUUCCCUAGACUGCCCUUUUCCUCUCGGUUGCCAAACACACCCCUAUUCAGUCUGCAAGGCCCAGAGCAAAUGCCACCUUUCUUCCCAUCCUCCCCCUUAGCACCCUGUGCUUACACAUCUCAGAGCCCUUGUCUUGCUGUGUCUUAACUGUUUGCAUGUCGAUUUCUCCCCAUGACUUGCAGUUCUUUAAGAACAGGGGCUAUGUCUUUCAUCUCCGUGGGAAAGAAAAAUGUUGGUUAUCAGAGCAGAGUCCCAGAGCCCAAAGAACAGCCCAGUGGCUUUCAAACGUUUUAAAAAUCACAAACUAGAGUAACAAAUGCAUGUUAUAUCAUGAUCCAGUAACAAAUAUGCACAUGUGUGCAGAUAGACAGAUGUCUGUAAAAUGGAAACGAAAUUUCCCAAAAUAAUAUACCACAUGCAGUGCUAAUAUCUGAGAUUCUGUUUUCUAGUUUAUUCUCUAUUCAUUUUUAAAAUGUGGAUUUGGUGCACCAAAUUGAUUUUAUGAUACAUUGAUGAAUGGCAACUUGCAGUUUGAGAAAUAUUAGUGUAGGUAACACUUCAUCUGCCAUCCCCCACCACCCUUGUUUUCUGAUUUUCUGUUUGUAUUUAUUGAAUGCUUCAAACUAGGGGAGGAAGGAGGAGUUUCUUUUUUUUUGUUUUGUUUUUUUUUUGAGAUGGAGUCUCGCUUUGUCACCCAAGCCCAGGCUGGAGUGUUGUGGUGCGAUCUCGGCUCACUGCAAGCUCUGCCUCCUGGGUUCAUGCCAUUUGGAAGGAGGAGUUUUGAUUGGGAGAUUGAGCAAGAAAGAGAGUGCUACAGCAGGGAUGGAGCACAGAAGAAACCAUAUUCUGCCUAUUUUUUGUCCAGCCCCUUGGACUUGCCUUGAGCUCCUAUAAGAAGAAACUGACCAGACUGUUCACAAGAAAAUGUAUACAGAUGGUCCUCGGCAGAUGAUGAGCACCAACAUUUGUGUGCAGC